rnacentral:rRNA from 1 species
AUUGAACGCUGGCGGCAGGCCUAACACAUGCAAGUCGAACGAGUGGCGGACGGGUGAGUAAUAUCUGUGAAACUGCCUGAUGGAGGGGGCUAACUACAGGAAACGGUAGCUAAUACUGCAUACCAUCAAAUGUUGCCCGAUGGGAUUAGCUAGUAGGUGGGGUAACGGCUUAACUAGGCGACGAUCCCUAGCUGGUCUGAGAGGAUGACCAGCCACACUGGAACUGAGAAACGGGCCAGACUCCUACGGGAGGCAGCAGUGGGGAAUAUUGGACAAUGGGCGCAAGCCUGAUGCAGCCAUGCCGCGUGUAUGAAGAAGGCCUUCGGAUUGUAAAGUACUUUCAGCUGGGAGGCGUUACCCGCAGAAGAAGCACCGGCUAACUCCGUGCCAGCAGCCGCGGUAAUUC